GAAAAUACAAAAGAACUAAGGUUAAUAAAUAGAACAACUAUAUAGAUACGAAGUUACUAUACACAUCUAUUCAUUAGUAUUUAUGAACAGAAAGUCAGAAAAGAUGCUCUAAUCAAGAGAAGAAAAUGUCAAUGUUAUAGUGAAAAGGGCUAGGACUUGGAUGAGUCUGUUCAGAGAAGAAGAACAGCCAAGUUUUAUAUGUAUGUACUUAAAGGGCAACCAAAUAAGAUUUAAAGUAUCCAGUAAAGGUCUUACAAAGAUAGAUGAUAUUUCACUGUUAUAAAGUAAAGGGACAAAAGCUCAGAGCAGCUAUAUUAUAAUGUACCAUCAGUGCUCUUUCAACAGCUGCAUAUCAAUAAACAGAUAAACAUAUGAACAAUUUAUUCAUGAUAAGGGAUAUGCCCUUGAAAUAACAUUUUAUAAUAUUUUGUGAUAACUUAUUGAAAAUGUGAGACUCGAUUUGUCAGAAUUUUGAUAUAAAUCAAGAGUUUAAAAUGAUCUUGGUCUUGAACAUUAAAAAAAAAAUUGAUUUGAAAAAAGUUGAAAUGUUAAGCAAAGAACAAUAACAAUUUGCUAAGGAGAGAAAAUUAUGGAUAAAAUAAGAGAUAUACAACAAUGCAAUAAUUUCCAAAACUGAUGGAGAACUGCAAAUUGAGUUAUAGUCCUUUAUGCAACAUUUUUAGCUGUAUUAAUUUGCUUCCAAUCAUGUAUUGCUGUUAUGAAAUAUUUCUGAAGUAAAACUAGUGAAAAUGUUAUCAAAUAUAUAAACUCUGUAUUAUGAAUGAGAUUUUCAGUAAAACUGAAUAGAUUUUAAAUUUAGGAAGCUUGUAAAACAAUGGAAGAUUUUGUUAAAAAAUAUUUGAAAUCAUGAAUUAUAGAUAUGUUAACAAAGUAACAAUCCUUUUUCAUCUUUCAAAUUUCGAAAACAAGUUUCCAAUUCAUUGUUUCAAUUUCCUAAUGGCUAGUCUGAUUGUUUCUUUAUAAUUUGGUAUAGAUUCAAAAUUUAGAAGUAGAGCUGUUUUCGAGGUGUUUCUGACCAUUACCAAAAUAGAUAUAUUCCCUUUGUCUAUUUCUUGAUUUUUUAUGAUGUGUAUAUAUUGUGUCUGACAAUUUUGCAUAUGUGAAGAAUGACAUUUAUAAUGUAUUCAUAUUUUGACCAAAAAAAACACAUUCAGAAAUUAUUUAGUACAAUUUUGUAACAUUUGUGAAUUGUGAAAAUUAUUAAAAGAACUUAAAAAUCAA